CAAAAGGAAUUCCUGUAGGAAUCCCGAAAUUCAAUUCCUGUAGGACUCCCCAGAUGAAAUUUCAAACAAAAACCUUGAAAGCUCAAGCAACACGCAUAUCUCAAAAAAUUCACGGUUGCGCAGGUGUUGGUUGUGCAGAAGUCAUUGUGACUGACUUCUAACAAAUUAGUACUUACUUGCUGAAAGUAUGCCACAAAACCCGCGCUGCCAUGACUCUUCAAUGACAUGUGUGUGGCUUGGGGUCAUUCCUUAAAUUACCCUAAACUUGUGUAACAGUCCAGAGGAAACUCUGCAAUAAAUUUCUGAAGCAAUUCCCGAAGCAAUUUAUGAGGAAAUUCCCACAGAGAAAUCUUGGAGGAAUCUCAACAUAUAAUUCCUUCUUGAAUCCACAGCAAAAACUCCUGCAGAAAACCCAUAUUUUUUUGUAACAUUACGAUAAAAUUCAUUAUUCAUGGGAAAAUCCUCUGACCAACUUCCGGAAGGAAUCUCCAGUUCUUCACACCGUGAAAAAAAUCCCGAAUGGAAUAUUUGGAAAGAUUUGCUGGAUGGAAUCUCCAUGGAAAGAAACUUCAGAAGGAAUCCUAGAAAUGAUCUCCUGGCGGUAUCCUGUAAGAAAUUCAUGAUGCCUGGAGGUAUCUCCAAGAGGAACUCUUAGACGAACACCCAGCUGGAUAACAUGGAUAAAUCUACAGGAAUAGUGUUAAAUUAGUGAACGUUAAAAUACACGUAAAUAAACAUUG